rnacentral:tRNA from 1 species
GCCUGGGUGGCUCAGUCGGUUGAGCAUCCGACUUUGGCUCAGGUUAUGAUCUCACUGUUCACGAGUUCGAGCCCUGCCUCGGGCU